AAUGAACGCUGGCGGCAGGCCUAACACAUGCAAGUCGAACGGAUCCUUCGGGAUUAGUGGCGGACGGGUGAGUAACGCGUGGGAACAUACCAUUUGGUACGGAAUAGCCUCGGGAAGCUGGGAGUAAUACCGUAUGUGGUCGAGAGACGAAAGAUUUAUCGCCAAAGGAUUGGCCCGCGUUGGAUUAGGUAGUUGGUGGGGUAAUGGCCUACCAAGCCGACGAUCCAUAGCUGGUUUGAGAGGAUGAUCAGCCACACUGGGACUGAGACACGGCCCAGACUCCUACGGGAGGCAGCAGUGGGGAAUCUUAGGCAAUGGGGGAAACCCUGAUCUAGCCAUGCCGCGUGAUCGAUGAAGGCCUUAGGGUUGUAAAGAUCUUUCAGGUGGGAAGAUAAUGACUGUACCACCAGAAGAAGCCCCGGCUAACUCCGUGCCAGCCGCCGCGGUAA
rnacentral:rRNA from 1 species